rnacentral:lncRNA from 1 species
CAGUUUUGUAGUUCACUUCUCAGCACCAAGCAAAGCAAACACUUACACAAAUACAUACAUAUUUUAUUUCGGGAGCUUAUGAGCUCCCUCACCUUCUUUCAUUCCGCUCUUUUUUCUUUCUUUUUUUUUUUUUUUUUUUGUCUUUUUUUGGGGAAAACAGUUCAGUUCUAGGAAGGAAGCCCCGGAAUCAGGUGCCAAGCCUGGUAUUAACAGUGUGACUUGGGAUGUGUCAUUUCACCCCUCUGGGCUUGUCUGCUUUUUUGUGAAAUAGAGAUCCACGUGCUCACCAACAUUUAUUGAGCAACGACUGUGUGCCAGGAGCCCCUCUAGGUGCUGAGGAAUCCGCGAGAAGUGGCUCGAUGGGGUUUGGCCGCAUCCUGAAGAGCAUGGGCCAUGGAGAGGACGCAGGAAAGUCACACGGGUUUGGAGUCUAGCCACCCGGGACGGAGAGAUGAGGGUGUUGGAGCUACAAGACCCAGGGAUCAUCUCAGUGGAGCUGAGUUGAGCUGAGGGCCCCGGAGAAGAGCCCUCCUUGUAACAUCAUCCCUGUCCCAGGGCGAGAGCCUGAUGGCGGCAUCUAAUUUGCUUUCCUGCACAUGAGUGGGUAUUAACAAUUGCUGCGAUGUCAUUUCCUGCUGGGGACAGAGUGUGAUGGAGCUGCUGUGAGAAGCUGCCUGCUGGCAUCGCUGCAGAAGCUGGGAGGGAGUCCUGGCUCCAGGGAGGCCCCCUCCCUCCCUGCACCCCUAGUAGCUCCUGGGAGCCCUUCUCCAACCCCCUGGGUCUUGCUUACUUCAGAUGGAGGCUGCAAGCAUCCACCAUGCUUGGUGAAUCUGAGACACAAAAGCCCCCCCUCUUGACCUUGAGGGGCUCCCGCUUUGAGGUUCUUGCCCCACCCUGCCAUGGGCCAGCGGGCUACAUCCGGGCAGGGUGGCGGGAAUGUGACAGACGACAGCAACAUCACUGCCCGUCUUUCUGAUGGUAAAUAUCCUCCAGACCCAUCAAAUUGUCCAAGGCCAAAGUCAUAUGCCACCUCCUCUCUGAAGACAUCUUUAACUUACCUCCCUUUCUAAGCCCUGACCAUCACCCUCCUCCUCCUCAUGAUAAUAAUGAAAUAAUAAAACCAUCUGGAUGGAG